GCUGCCUUAGCUCAGCUGGUAGAGCAGCUGAUUUGUAAUCAGCAGGUCGUGGGUUCGAGGCCUACAGGCAGCA
rnacentral:tRNA from 1 species